rnacentral:rRNA from 1 species
UACGUAGGUGGAAUAUUAAGUCAGUGGUGAAAUCCUGCGGCUCAACCGUAGAACUGCCAUUGAUACUGAUAUUCUUGAAUGUAGUUGAGGUAGGCGGAAUGUGUAAUGUAGCGGUGAAAUGCUUAGAUAUUACACAGAACACCGAUUGCGAAGGCAGCUUACUAAACUAUGAUUGACGCUGAGGUACGAAAGCGUGGGGAGCGAACAGGAUUAGAUACCCUGGUAGUCC